GAUGAACGCUGGCGGCGUGCCUAAUACAUGCAAGUCGAGCGAACGGACGAGAAGCUUGCUUCUCUGAUGUUAGCGGCGGACGGGUGAGUAACACGUGGAUAACCUACCUAUAAGACUGGGAUAACUUCGGGAAACCGGAGCUAAUACCGGAUGAUAUUUUGAACCGCAUGGUUCAAAAGUGAAAGACGGUCUUGCUGUCACUUAUAGAUGUAUCCGCGCUGCAUUAGCUAGUUGGUAAGGUAACGGCUUACCAUGGCAACGAUGCAUAGCCGAACUGAGAGGGGGGUCGGCCACACUGGAACUGAGACACGGUCCAGAGUCCUACGGGAGGCAGCAGUAGGGAAUCUUCCGCAAUGGGCGAAAUCCUGACGGAGCAACGCCGCGUGAGUGAUGAAGGUCUUCGUAUCGUAAAACUCUGUUAUUAGGGAAGAACAUAUGUGUAAGUAACUGUGCACAUCUUGACGGUACCUAGUCAGAAAGCCACGGCUAACUACGUG
rnacentral:rRNA from 1 species